GACGAACGCUGGCGGCGCGCCUAACACAUGCAAGUCGAACGAGCGAGAGAGAGCUUGCUUUCUCGAGCGAGUGGCGAACGGGUGAGUAACGCGUGAGGAACCUGCCUCAAAGAGGGGGACAACAGUUGGAAACGACUGCUAAUACCGCAUAAGCCCACAGCUCGGCAUCGAGCAGAGGGAAAAGGAGCAAUCCGCUUUGAGAUGGCCUCGCGUCCGAUUAGCUAGUUGGUGAGGUAAUGGCCCACCAAGGCGACGAUCGGUAGCCGGACUGAGAGGUUGAACGGCCACAUUGGGACUGAGACACGGCCCAGACUCCUACGGGAGGCAGCAGUGGGGAAUAUUGCACAAUGGGGGAAACCCUGAUGCAGCGACGCCGCGUGGAGGAAGAAGGUCUUCGGAUUGUAAACUCCUGUUGUUGAGGAAGAUAAUGACGGUACUC
rnacentral:rRNA from 1 species